rnacentral:rRNA from 1 species
CACAUGCAAGUCGAGGGGCAGCAUGGUCUUAGCUUGCUAAGGCCGAUGGCGACCGGCGCACGGGUGAGUAACACGUAUCCAACCUGCCGUCUACUCUUGGACAGCCUUCUGAAAGGAAGAUUAAUACAAGAUGGCAUCAUGAGUCCGCAUGUUCACAUGAUUAAGGGUAUUCCGGUAGACGAUGGGGAUGCGUUCCAUUAGAUAGUAGGCGGGGUAACGGCCCACCUAGUCUUCGAUGGAUAGGGGUUCUGAGAGGAAGGUCCCCCACAUUGGAACUGAGACACGGUCCAAACUCCUACGGGAGGCAGCAGUGAGGAAUAUUGGUCAAUGGGCGAGAGCCUGAACCAGCCAAGUAGCGUGAAGGAUGACUGCCCUAUGGGUUGUAAACUUCUUUUAUAAAGGAAUAAAGUCGGGUAUGGAUACCCGUUUGCAUGUACUUUAUGAAUAAGGAUCGGCUAACUCCGUGCCAGCAGCCGCGGUAAUACGGAGGAUCCGAGCGUUAUCCGGAUUUAUUGGGUUUAAAGGGAGCGUAGAUGGAUGUUUAAGUCAGUUGUGAAAGUUUGCGGCUCAACCGUAAAAUUGCAGUUGAUACUGGAUAUCUUGAGUGCAGUUGAGGCAGGCGGAAUUCGUGGUGUAGCGGUGAAAUGCUUAGAUAUCACGAAGAACUCCGAUUGCGAAGGCAGCCUGCUAAGCUGCAACUGACAUUGAGGCUCGAAAGUGUGGGUAUCAAACAGGAUUAGAUACCCUGGUAGUCCACACGGUAAACGAUGAAUACUCGCUGUUUGCGAUAUACUGCAAGCGGCCAAGCGAAAGCGUUAAGUAUUCCACCUGGGGAGUACGCCGGCAACGGUGAAACUCAGAGGAAUUGACGGGGGCCCGCACAAGCGGAGGAACAUGUGGUUUAAUUCGAUGAUACGCGAGGAACCUUACCCGGGCUUAAAU